rnacentral:rRNA from 1 species
AGUGAACGCUGGCGGCAUGCCUAAUACAUGCAAGUCGAACGGCAGCACAAUAAGAGCUUGCCCCUACGGUUAGCGGCUGGCGGACGGGUGACGAAUACAUCGGAAUCCAAUUUUUCUGGGGGGACUUCGUGGGGCAACAUAUGCUAACACCGCAUACGUUCUACCGCUGAAUGCAGGAGAGCAUCGCGCCUUUGCUGUCACUUAGAGACGAAGCCGCAUUAGCUAGUUGGGUGGGUAAAGGCCCACCAAGGCAACGAUACGUAGCUGAGCUGAGAGGAUGAUCGGCCACACUGGAACUGAGACACGGUCCAGACUCCUACGGGAGGCAGCAGUAGGGAAUCUUCGGCAAUGGGCGAAAGCCUGAUGCAGCCAUGCCGCGUGAGUGAAGAAGGCCUUCGGAUUGUAAAGCUCUGUUAUUAGGGAAGAAAAGCAGCAGAAUAAAACCCCGCUGUUCUGACGGUACCCAAAGAGAAAGCACCGGCUAACUACGUG